rnacentral:rRNA from 1 species
UGGCUCAGAACGUACGCUGGCGGCACGCCUAACACAUGCAAGUCGAACGAAGUAGCAAUACUUAGUGGCAGACGGGUGAGUAACAUGUAGGUAUCUGCCCUUUGGCCUGGAAUAACACGAGGAAACUUGUGCUAAUACCGGAUAAGUCUUUACGGAGAAAGCUUUAUGCACCAUUGGAUGAGCCUGCACUUGAUUAGUUUGUUGGUGGGGUAAUGGCCUACCAAGACUGUGAUCAAUAGCUGAUUUGAGAGGAUGAUCAGCCACAUUGGGACUGAGACACGGCCCAAACUCCUACGGGAGGCAGCAGUGGGGAAUCUUGCACAAUGGAGGAAACUCUGAUGCAGCGAUGCCGCGUGAGUGAAGAAGGCCCUUGGGUUGUAAAGCUCUUUCGUCGGGGAAGAAAAUGACUGUACCCGAAUAAGAAGGUCCGGCUAACUUCGUGCCAGCAGCCGCGGUAAUACGAAGGGACCUAGCGUAGUUCGGAAUUACUGGGCUUAAAGAGUUCGUAGGUGGUUGAAAAAGUUAGUGGUGAAAUCCCAGAGCUUAACUCUGGAACUGCCAUUAAAACUUUUCAGCUAGAGUAUGAUAGAGGAAAGCAGAAUUUCUAGUGUAGAGGUGAAAUUCGUAGAUAUUAGAAAGAAUACCAAUUGCGAAGGCAGCUUUCUGGAUCAUUACUGACACUGAGGAACGAAAGCAUGGGUAGCGAAGAGGAUUAGAUACCCUCGUAGUCCAUGCCGUAAACGAUGUGUGUUAGACGUUGGAAAUUUAUUUUCAGUGUCGCAGGGAAACCGAUAAACACACCGCCUGGGGAGUACGACCGCAAGGUUAAAACUCAAAUGAAUUGACGGGGACCCGCACAAGUAGUGGAGCAUGUGGUUUAAUUCGAAGAUACGCGCAGAACCUUACCAACACUUGACAUGUUCGUCGCGACUCUAAGAGAUUAGAGUUUUCGGUUCGGCCGGACGAAACACAGGUGCUGCAUGGCUGUCGUCAGCUCGUGUCGUGAGAUGUUGGGUUAAGUCCCGCAACGAGCGCAACCCUCACUUUUAGUUGCCAUCAUUAAGUUGGGCACUCUGAAAGAACUGCCAGUGAUAAGCUGGAGGAAGGUGGGGAUGACGUCAAGUCCUCAUGGCCCUUACGUGUUGGGCUACACACGUGCUACAAUGGCAUCUACAACAGGAAGCAAAACGGCAACGUUAAGCAAAUCCCGAAAAGAUGCCUCAGUUCGGAUUGCACUCUGCAACUCGAGUGCAUGAAGCUGGAAUUACUAGUAAUCGUGGAUCAGCGUGCCACGGUGAAUGCGUUCCCGGGUCUUGUACACACCGCCCGUCACACCAUGGGAGUUGGUUCUACCUUAAGGCAAGGUUUCAAACCCUUGACCACGGUAUAGUCAGCGACUGGGGUGAAGUCGUAACAAAGGUAACCGUA